CCGUGUCUGCGACCUACACCACAGCUCACAGCAACGCAGGAUCAUGGGAACCCAUUGAGCGGGGCCAGGGAUCCAACCUGCGUCCUCAUGGAAACCAGUUGGGAUCGUUACUGCUGAGCAGCAACGGGAAGUCUUCCAUGUUCUUUUCAUUAGAAAAGAGUCACUAAAUCCAGCCCACACUAAAAGUGAGGGAAUUAUAUAUAUAUAUAUAUAUAUAUAUAUAUAUAUAUAUAUAUAUUUUUGCUUUUUAGGGCCACAGCCACGCAUAUGGAGAUUCCCAGUCUAGGGGUCCAAUCAGAGCUACAGCUGCCAGCCUACAAGACAGCUACAGCAAAGCAGAUUCUGAGCUGCAUCUACGACCUA
rnacentral:lncRNA from 1 species